rnacentral:rRNA from 1 species
UACGUAGGGUGCGAGCGUUAAUCGGAAUUACUGGGCGUAAAGCGUGCGCAGGCGGUUUCGUAAGACAGGCGUGAAAUCCCCGGGCUCAACCUGGGAACUGCGCUUGUGACUGCCAGGCUAGAGUGUGUCAGAGGGGGGUGGAAUUCCACGUGUAGCAGUGAAAUGCGUAGAGAUGUGGAGGAACACCGAUGGCGAAGGCAGCCUCCUGGGAUAGCACUGACGCUCAUGCACGAAAGCGUGGGGAGCAAACAGG